AUAAGAACGUAUUGUUUAAAAAUUAAAGUGUUGUUUAAUAAUUACAGUAAAAAGAAAACAAUUAAAUGCGGACAAUAGGUAGAAGACAUGUUGUUUGAGAGGGCUGGCUACAUGGCAGAAUAUUGCAAUUGUUAUAAUGAAAA